rnacentral:rRNA from 1 species
UACGUAGGGUGCAAGCGUUAAUCGGAAUUACUGGGCGUAAAGCGUGCGCAGGCGGCUUUGCAAGACAGAUGUGAAAUCCCCGGGCUUAACCUGGGAACUGCAUUUGUGACUGCAUGGCUAGAGUGCGGCAGAGGGGGAUGGAAUUCCGGCGUGUAGCAGUGAAAUGCGUAGAUAUGCGGAGGAACACCGAUGGCGAAGGCAAUCCCCUGGGCCUGCACUGACGCUCAUGCACGAAAGCGUGGGGAGCAAACAGG